rnacentral:lncRNA from 1 species
AUAUUUAAAUAGUAAAAAAUUAUUUUGUUUAUAUGUAUAGAGUCCUAUUGUUAUACUCUUAUAAGUACGAUUGAUUUCAUACUCAUAAGUCAUUUUCAAUGAUAGAGUUUCCUAAUUAAUGUGCCAGGCCGUUAAAUAUGGUUUAGAGCAUUUAAAACUUUGAAAAACUAUGUUUUAUAAUUUACAAUUUAAAGCAUUUGAAAUUUUAAGAAAUCAAAGUUCAUAAUUUUUUGACAUCAUUUACCGCAUGAUCAAAAGAUCUUAAAAUUAAAAAUUUUUAAUGGCCGAUUGGGGAUGCUCGCUAAUUUAACGGUGUAAAAGAUUCUGAAGGUGAGGAAGCACCGCAAAGCUUGAGAGGGCGGAGGAGGCGAGGCCUAGGGAGAGUAGUUGGAGGUUGGGGCUAGGUGAGAAGCCGCUGGAUACCUAGUAUAAGGUUGGAAUUUGGAAGGAAAUUAGGGUUAGGAUUGAAGGGGCAAUUGCUUGUAUACUCCUGAAAAGUUUUCGACUUUCUGAUUUACCUCUCUUAGAAGGCUAAUAUUGAAAAUAUCCUUUUUACGUUCCAAUUUAUUUCCAAUAUACCUCUAAAGUUAAAUUCUGUUAAUGAACUAUUAGCAAUAGCUGCUAUCUCUAUAAAAUUACUAUUUUGCCCUUUCAAAUAUAUACAUCUACCAUCAUCAACUUUUCUUACUUCCUUUUAAGUUAGGGACAAAAAUAUUUUAAUUUUGGUCUUUUCAAAUAUACCCUUUUAUCAUCACCAACAUUUCUUAUUUGCCCUUUAAUUAAGGGCAAAAGAGGUAUUUUAAUUUUUUUUUAACUAUGGUAGAUAUUUAACUCAUGAUUAACCCAAGUUAACUUAACAAGUGGUAACUGAAGGGGUAUUUUGGAAUAACGGAGUAACAUAUGACGGAUAUAUUAGAAAGAAAAAAAGUAGGAAUAAAUAAAAUAUUUCCAUAGUUUUGAGGAAUAUAUAGGCAAUUAUCACAAGAUUAAAAGCUUAUAUAUGAAACAAAGUUUAGAAAAAUUCUAUCCAUUAAAUUUUUGAUCUAACAAUUAGAAUUCUAGAAAUAUUAUUCGGCCUCUCGACAUUAGGGUUGGGCCAAUAUUUAAAUAGUAAAAAUUUAUUUUGUAUAUAUGUAUAGAGUCUAACUGUCAUACUCUUAUAAGUACGAUCAACUUUAUACUCAUAAGUCAUUUUCGAUGAUAAAGUUUCCUAAUCAACAAGCCAUAUCGUUAAAUAUGAUUUAGAACAUUUAAAACUUUAAAAACCAACUUUUAUAAUUUACGAUUUAGAGUGUUUGAAACUUUGAGAAACCAAAGUUCAUAAUUUUUGACAUCAUUUACCAUACGAUCAAAAGAUUUUAAAAUUGACAAUUUUUAAUAGCCAGUAGGGUAUGCUCGCUAGUUUAACCAUGUAAAAGACUCGGAAUCGGUUGAAUUUUUGGCAAAAAAUUCUAUUCAAUAUCUAGGUAGAGAUCUAUAACUUCGAUUUUAAAUUGAAGAAUCUGAUCCUCUAUUUUUAGCAGGUCGUCAAGUUUGGCAAUUCAUUUUAUGUGCGUUUGAUGGACUUUAUUAUGAUUUUAAAAUUACAAAAUAUAUUUUCUAAAAGGUUCAAAUGCCUUAUAUUAUAUUUAAUAGUGUGAAUUGUUGAUUAUGAAGUUCAGUCAUUAAAUACAACUUAUGAAGACAAAAUGUUUUAUACUCAUAAAAGUAUAGUAGUCCUACUAUAUAUAUAGAGUUGGGUUGGAAUAUUAUUUAUAGUAUUUGACUUUUCUUUGCUAUCGUAUUUUUAGCCCUUGGAUAAAAAAUUGCAGGGCACCUAGGGUUUAGUGGUGAUCCUCUAGGGUUGAGUAGAUGGUUGGUUAAAUAGUAUGAUCUAAAGAGUGGAAUUAAUAAAAGUAUAGAUCUAAUAGGGGGUGAGGUUAG